rnacentral:misc_RNA from 1 species
AGCAGCCGCGGUAAUUCCAGCUCCAAUAGCGUAUAUUAAAGUUGUUGCAGUUAAAAAGCUCGUAGUUGAAUUUCGGGAUCAGUUGGUCGGUCGUGCCUCGGUACGUACUGGUCAAAUUGAUUCCUACCUUCUGACGAACCACGAUGUCAUUAAUUUGGUGUCGCGGGAAAUCAGGACUGUUACUUUGAAAAAAUUAGAGUGUUUAUAGCAGGCUCGCGCUUGAAUACAUUAGCAUGGAAUAAUGAAAUAGGACGUUUGAUUCUAUUUUGUUGGUUUCUAGGAUCGACGUAAUGAUUAAUAGGGAUAGUUGGGGGCAUUAGUAUUCAAUUGUCAGAGGUGAAAUUCUUGGAUUUAUUGAAGACUAACUACUGCGAAAGCAUUUGCCAAGGAUGUUUUCAUUAAUCAAGAACGAAAGUUAGGGGAUCGAAGACGAUCAGAUACCGUCGUAGUCUUAACCAUAAACUAUGCCGACUAGGGAUCGGAUGAUGUUAAUUUUUUCAAUGACUCAUUCGGCGCCUUA